UUUGCUUCCCUCACUGCGGGGUCUGACACCCCUCCUGUGAGCAGAGGCAGGUGCCCCAGCCAGCAGGGUUUCUGCUUUCCUGAGCUGGACACGUCUGCCUGCUGCGGGCAAGCAUGUCAAAUCACACCUACCAUAUUGGCUUCCUGUCCCCAGAACAUCAGAUUUUUGCAGCUAAUGUGUGGGGGGUGUCUCCUCCUGCCAAUCCCCACCCCCAGCAGCAUCAGGUCUGUGCUGUUCGGGGUUUUGUUAAGCCGUUUAGUAUUAAUUGAUUUUUUUUUCCAUUUUUUCUUUCUUUCCCUGGGCGGGUCAAUAGCUGGAUGCUCAAGAGCAGAGGAUCUAUCAACUGCAGACCAAGCAGAGAGAGAGGCAGGCAGACCUGGAGCAGAAAUGCAGCCAGAGCAUCAGCUCAGCCAGGACCUGGGGGCCAGCCACCAGCUACGGAAGGGAGCUUGGAGCAGGCCUCUUGCUUUUUCUUGACUCCCACACAGUGCUGCCGUCACUGCUGGCUUGGAAGGAGGCCCCAGAGCUGCUGAUGUGGCCGUCCAGAGGCGCUAUCCCUCUUCCAGCAACUCAGUGAUUGUAAUUGCAAGAACCACCAAUGCCUUGUGUCCUGUGACCAGACCCAAGCAGCGCUUUGCUUUCAUUUGCUCUUUCCAUUCUCCAGCAGAAUUUCUACUUCCUGCUGAUUUCCAUUUCUUGGUUCCUUAGAGAACACAUGACAGGUCCUCCAGAGCUUGUGUAUGCCCUUAACCCACAGAGUCAGAAAACGGAGAUGCAGUUGUCAGAAGCAGCAGUGGGGAUGUGCCGCGAUGGUGUGAAUACACAGCAGCACCAGCAGCGGGCAGGAGGCAGCCCCAGGGGCCGCUGCACACCUGCGGGCUCCCUCCUCUGCCCGUCUGCGCCUGACCCUGGGGGGAAGUGCUUAAACACAACCAGGCCAGCCCUGGGUGGCCUGCUGUGGCAGGGGCAGGACAGGGGAAUGAGCCAGGUGACCCGGUGUUUGACCAGCGGCAGCGGCAGGGCUGGCUCCUGGGUGACUGCGCUGGGAGGGCCUCCUCACGUACCAACACUCCCCACCACGAGGUUUCCUGGGAACAUGCGGUAGCUGGAGGAGUAGAGCUGGGACGCUCUGGGAUGUGUCAUGGCCUUUCAGCUUCCACUAGAAAGACAGCAGGGCAGAGCAGGUCCCGACCCAUUAUUGCUACUGUGACUGUUUCCCCCCUCUGUUUUUACAUAUCCAGUUUGUUCUCUCUCCCUUCCCUCUCCCUAGAGCUGCUGUGGUUUUUAAUAAGUAUUUUUCAAGUAGCUGGCUGAGACCCUCGCAAGGAUAAUGAGAUCAUUCGCACUGCAGAAUGCAGCGCCCUGCAAGUCCCGAUUGCUAUCGCUCCCGGUGGACUGCGCCCACAGUGCCUGUAUUUCUGUCGCUGUUCCUCAUCCCAAACACAGCAGCAUGCCCCGGGCAGUACCGGAUGGGAUCGGCCGGGGUACGGCUCCCUGCCAACACCAUGAAUUGUCACUGGAACCGCUCAGAAAUAACCUUUAAGGCUUAUUAAGAUUCUACCGACGGA